rnacentral:rRNA from 1 species
UACGAAGGGGGCUAGCUUUGCUCGGAAUCACUGGGCGUAAAGCGCACGUAGGCGGCUUUUUAAGUCAGGGGUGAAAUCCUGGAGCUCAACUCCAGAACUGCCUUUGAUACUGGGAAGCUCGAGUCCGGAAGAGGUGAGUGGAACUCCGAGUGUAGAGGUGAAAUUCGUAGAUAUUCGGAAGAACACCAGUGGCGAAGGCGGCUCACUGGUCCGGUACUGACGCUGAGGUGCGAAAGCGUGGGGAGCAAACAGG